AUGCUCCACAAAGCGCUGCCGUCUGGAAAACGUGGAAUAAUAUUUAUAGAGUUUGCCAAGGGCAAGCUUCACAAUAAACUGUAAUCCCUUCUAGGCAUCCUCUCUUUGGACCUUUCUUGGAAAUGGUGUGGUGCCGCGGGUUUCGACCUCAUCACCACCUGCCUGUGGUGAUGUUGUCCGUUUUCACUCACUUUAUUCCUAGCAAAACUCCAUGGGUUUUACACUCAAUCUUGUAAAUUCCUGCCGUGAAAGCCUCCCGUGCAGUGAAGCAUUCAUUCAAGCCUUAUGCACCCUUGCCAAAGCCAGGGGACCCUGACUUCAAAUGGCAGAGGAGACAGGCCCCUAAAACUGAGGAGAAGGGAUUUUCGUUUGGCGAGAUGAAACAGAGGAAGGUGUCAGUAGAAAAUGUGGAGAGAAAUCACACAGCCCCAGCAGCAAGCUGGGGGAACAGUCUUUGCAACAGCAUUUCUGAAUAGAUCUAAUUUGAACAGCCUUUCUCAAACCAAAGACAAGUCUGCUACAGUAACUGAUACCAAACUGAAGAAUGGCUGUCCAAGAGUGUUUUCUUGUAUGGAUUAAUACAAAAAGGCAAAUGUUAGUGACAGCAUGCAGAACGAAUGACAAGAUAUAGGCACAACCGGAUUGUGAGGGCCUAAGGAAACACCAGAAGGGCACUGCUGACUGCAUUCAAUGUGACCAGGAGAGCAAUGGCCACAAAGUUGUCUAGGAGGUCUGUAAAGCUCUGAUAAACCCACCCUCAUAUUACACGAUGUCAGAAAAAGAGAAUUUAACUGGAAUAAAAGCACAGCAGGCUUCAUGGCUACUAUGAUUGUAAAUUACACGUGAGGAAUUUUCCUAUAAAUGACAGUGUUUAUGAGACAGUGUUUUGGUAGAUGGACCUAGGUCUGCGUAUAAGAAGAUCUGAUGACUUUUUUCAAUAGCUUACUUCAUGGCUGGCCAGGUCAUUAAAUUCUUUUCUAUGUGACGUUUCCCCAUGUGCCUGAGAUACUGCUGGCCAGGCAUCUUUGUGUUAUAGUUAAGAUGCUAAUUGAAAAGCUACUUGUUUUUAUGCUUUGGCAUCAUUACUGUGGAAUAUACACCCAGCUUCUUAUUGUUCUGCAUGAAGGGCAGUUCAGGACUGUGCAAAUAAAGGAUAAAAAGGGGUACAGGAUACAGCAGAGGAAGAGCCAUGGAAGGCAGGCAGAGGUAACCAGCUUUGUUAAGUCAGUGCACAGAGUUGCUGGUUUCUGAAUGGAUUAUAAGGCUGAAUGUGUUUCCAGACAUCCAAACAUCCAAAAUGCAUCAAAGGAAAUAAAUCUUCUGAAAACACUGAGGCGUACAACACACAGGCAACAGCAGUUGUCUCCUUCCCAGUCCACGCAGUCCGUGGGGCUUCCGACACCUGUUCCAGUUGGGUUUUGUACCUGAAUAUCAGGACUGUUUGACCAAAAGGUGCCACAGUUUCCAAAAUAAGUCCUCUUUCCUCUGCAUACUACUGGAGCAUCAGCAACAAUUGACACUUCUUCAUGGUUUCCUUGAAAGGGAUCAUUUUUUAAGGAAAGCAGGCAUUAAUGUGAUACCAUUUCUUGCUCAUGCUGCAUCGAACUUAUAAAUAAAGUUUACCUCUGAAUUUAGUGAGAGAAAGAUUAGGCAGUGAAUCCUUGUCUUUUCCACAAAGAGUGCCAGCUGUGAUACUUGGGAUUGUACUUUCUGCGGUGUGGACUGGAGCCGACUCGGAACAGGGCUGUGACAGUCAAGUGAUUUUGCAUAUGCCACAAAGAGUCUUUAGAUACUCAUAAUCUGGAUCAAAUUAGAACCAAAACUCCACUGGAAAAAAAGAUCACAUGGGACAUCAGCAAUCCCCUGAGCCAGCUGCAUUCCUAAAUAGUUUAUUAUAAUAUCUACCUCUCUGUCACAAAAGAAAAAAAAAUGCUAACUGGUAGCUAUAUGCCACAUAUGAGAAUGAAUACAUUUGUGGUCUUCAUCCCAUUUCUGUGCCAGAAAUUAACAAGUUAAAUACUCUUUUGCUACAGCUGUGUUGACAUCAGUCAAGAGUGGUGUGGAACAAACAAAGAUAUUGUGGCACAAGAAGUUAUUUAACAAAAUUGGAAUGGCAGCUAUACAAAAAUUAAGGGUGAAUCAAUUAUUCCUAAAUGGAAAAAUUCAAAAUUAGUAGGGAAAAUAGUAUUUUCAGGCUUCCAAAAGGGCAUUAUAAACAAAGGAGAAAAAAGGCAAAAGUUCAAAUCAGAAUAAAUGGAGCAGACAAGGAUUUCACAAGCCUUUGUUGAUAUUAUGCAUGCUUCUGAAGAUAGAAAAAAAUCUCAAAAAAGUAAUUUCUUAAGCUUUGUUCAACUUGUAAAGAGACAGAUUUUGGUAAAUUUAUACACUUCAAAUGGUGAUAUAAUUACACGAAGGAUUCUGUGCUUGGUACCAUCAUGAGUUAUAUUGUUAAACAAAGAGACUCAGCUGUUUCCCAGUUCCCAACCAGCAGUCAAGGCAUGGCUUAUGUCUGCAUUCAGGCACGAAAACUAGAAAAUACACCAGGUCCCACAGCUUAGACAUUAAUAUUUGUGUGAUGUUUAUUUACUUUUUUUAAUUGGCAUAUGGUUCUGUAUUAAUUGUUCUUACUCUGAAGUCUUCCGGGUUCAGAAGGCCUAUCUGAAACAAAUACAUUGUUUUUUUUUAGCAACAGGCAAACAUUGCUAAGAUUAACUGGAGUUUUAAAACCAAACUAUGCACAUGUUCUUACCUAAAAGUUUAGCUUAGACAAGUCUAACUUGCCAAAAAGUUCUACAUUAUAAUCUGAUUUCUUAGGAAAAAGAAAAAUACAAAAAUAAAAAACAAAAACACACCCACAGAGACACCUCCUUCCAGUCCCUGUUCCCUGCUCAAAUCCCUUUGAAUGAUGCCAGGAUUCUGUUUUCCUUUGGGGUUUUAAACGUUAUGUAGUUUGUCUGCAGUGGAAACAAAGUCAUCAAAAACAAUGUUUUUGUGCUGUUCCUCCGCUCCUCGGUAUUUGCUGAGAGAUGCCUUACUCUGAGUAAGUUUUUUCAUUCCUCGUCCUUGUUUUUCCAGACAGGAGCCUGUGGAGUUAAACCACCCAUACAGACAAAUACUCCAAUCUUAAUUUUAAUCAGUGAACACAUAAAAUCGUGACAUGCAAUCGUUGCAGUCUCUACGGCCCACCUCAGCAAAUGGCAGCCCAUCAAAAGGAGGCCACGAGCAUCCUGAGCCUGGGUUCAGCUCCAGAAAGCAUCCCGGGAGGCAAAAUUCUCUAGCUCUAGACAUCAUCUACCAUAUGGAAGCUUUAUCAUAUUGAAGACAGUGUCUGCAUGGCCUGCCCAGAAAUCCCGGCAUAACUUCGGCAAUCCAUGAAGUGCUAGCAGUCAGGAAGUCUCUGGCUACAAAAUCCCUGGUGGAGCUCCAUCCAGGUCAGGUUGUGGUCCCAGGUUUGAAAGUCCUUUGGAUAACUUUCUGAAGACCUACUACUGCCAGGUGCUGAGCACCUCUGGAGACACAACUUAAGAGAGUGAGUUUCAAUAAAUUCUGCAAAUUUUAGGAUCCAGCAGCCAGGAGUUAGGAUGAUCUUUGACCUGGAAGGUCAUAACUGGAAGAUGAACACAAUCAUAUAUACUCGACAUUUUUAGAUCAAGUAUUGGGUUCAUUAGCUUGAAAAUACUAAAUCAUUUAUUGUAAUCUUUAGUGAGUGGCCCAACAUGUGCUGCUAAUUACUUUCUCAUUCGGGAGAAAAAACAGAGGGAAAGUUAAUUUUUUCUCAUAUAUGCUUUCUAGAGCAAAAUGAACUCCUGAAAAGUGUACUAAUUUUCUCUUCCCAGCAGCCACGCAUACCUCUGGGAAGAGCCAUAUUCCUCAACAAAGAAAGCAUGAGGGCUUCAUCCUCUGAAAUGCGAGUACGGAAUAAAUCAUUUUAAUGAAACAAAAGACAUUCAUUCUCAAAAAAUUAUACGGAAGCAACUCAUUGGAAAAUUGUAUUAGGAAAAUGGUGAUGUACAUCGAGAUUAAAUCCUAUGUCAUUAUAACAGUCAAGUAGUUUACUGAGCAAGUUAAUUUUAUGCAUAUAUGCAUAUAGUGUAUAUUUAUGCAUACAAACACACACAAACCUGUGAAGUAUAGAAUUCAGACACAUAUACACAGCUAUACACGUACAAAACUGUAAAGAUGUAAAUUACUCUAGAGAUAUAACAGGUUUGAUUCCCAAAAUACCUUUUUCAGGAAUGAGUGGUAUUUAAAAUCAGGGGUUGGGGCUUCCAAAACCAAUACUGCUCAGUUGGGUCUACAGCUGGGAUGAAAUUCAUUUGCUUGCCUACAGGUGAAAACUACUAAGAAUGCUAAAAGCUGGUUGAUCGCAUUUACUGAGCCACAGCCACCGCAGACGAUUUUAAUGAAUAUUUCCAAUGAAAUCUCUGUAUUUACUGGCUUUGACAGAUGGGGAAUAUUGCUUAAGCUAUUGUGUGCCUGUGCAUUCCUUGAGUGUGAUGCUGUGUUUUUUUUCUUGUCGUGUCAUUUGUUUCAUUUAACUUUCUCAUUAAUGGCACAAUUGCUUUGCUUUGUUGAAAAGUCCUUUUCUGAGAAGAGAGCAGUACUUUCUUCUUAAACUUAUUGCCAACAAAAGAUUUUCAAACGCACGUGGUACAGAGGAAUCAUGUACAAGAUUGUUUUAGAGGAAGAAGAAGUCUCUCAAAUUAAAAGCACAAAUCCACUUACUACAUUUGCUUUUGACAUGAAAUGAAAAGUUAACAUGAGAAGUGCACAUAGUUCAUCGGCACACUCUGAACAAAUACAUAAUUAACAUGUGGAAUAAGCAACGUUGUUGUCAACACUUUCACAUAUGUUACCAUGAAACUUGAAUAUUUUUAAUUAGUGGAGAAAAUCCAAGUAAAUGCAGCCUGCGCUUGAGAUAUAAAUUAGUUUGGCUCAAUGAAUAUUAAAAAUGAGAGAAUCUAAUCUAUACCUUGACUACACGUAACGUAUUGUGUCAGCUUAAUGGGUCCUGCGUAAUUACAAUCUGCUCUAACACUCUGAGAAAUUAUUACUUGGCAGAGAAGUAUCCAUUGUGGCCAUUGUGUAAAUGCUUUAUUAAAUCACUGGUAGAAUUCAAAAUGUAUGAGUUCAUUAGCAGGUAGGUAGAAAGUGUAGGUUUUGGUGUUUUGCAGUGUGCCAGACUGACAGAACCUUGUUUGAAGGCUACAUAAUAAAAGGAAAAAUAAAAAACUAUAUAGCAGUACCAUGUGGCUUCUGAUUUGGGAACUACAAUUUAGCCUAUUAGACAUGGACCUGUUCCAAAAGUGCACAUUCAAACAACCAUGCAUGAAGGAGUUAGAAACACAGAUGUGAAUUAUAACUCUCCAAAAUCCUGGGAAAGCUCCAAAUCAGGCCAUUAGAGGUAGCCUUGAACUGUGAGUACAGAUCCAGAUCUAAAAUUUUUGUUGAAACCUGUCUUUCCCUACAUUUUUACAGCAACUACUGAAUGUAUUAAAACCAA